GGGGAGAAUUGUUCCGCAACGGGGCGAGAGGCGUGACAGAAGCAACUACCGGGUGAGAGAAGGAAGGCUCUUGGGUUGUAAACGCUCUUUUCUCAGGGAAGAAAAAAAAUGACGGUACCUGAGGAAUAAGCAUCGGCUAACUUACGUGCCAGCAGCCGCGGGUAAUACGGAGGAUGCAAGCCGUUAUAUCGGAAUGAUUGGGCGUAAAGGGUCCGCAGGUGGCAUUGUAAGUCUGCUGUUAAAGAGUCACGCUCAACCUGAUCAAGGCGGUGGAAACUACAAAGCUAGAGUGUGGUCAGGGGCAGAAGGAAUUCCUGGUGUAGCGGUGAAAUGCGUAGAUAUCAGGAAGAACACCGGUGGCGAAGGCGUUCCCCUAGGCCAAGACUGACACUGAGGGACGAAAGCUAGGGGAGCGAACG
rnacentral:rRNA from 1 species